rnacentral:rRNA from 1 species
AUGAACGCUGGCGGCGUGCCUAAUACAUGCAAGUCGAGCGAACAGACGAGGAGCUUGCUCCUCUGACGUUAGCGGCGGACGGGUGAGUAACACGUGGAUAACCUACCUAUAAGACUGGGAUAACUUCGGGAAACCGGAGCUAAUACCGGAUAAUAUAUUGAACCGCAUGGUUCAAUAGUGAAAGACGGUUUUGCUGUCACUUAUAGAUGGAUCCGCGCCGCAUUAGCUAGUUGGUAAGGUAACGGCUUACCAAGGCAGCGAGGCGUAGCCGACCUGAGAGGGUGAUAGCCCACACUGGAACUGAGACACGGUCCAGACUCCUACGGGAGGGAGCAGUAGGGAAUCUUCCGCAAUGGGCGAAAGCCUGACGGAGCAACGCCGCGUGAGUGAUGAAGGUCUUCGGAUCGUAAAACUCUGUUAUUAGGGAAGAACAAAUGUGUAAGUAACUAUGCACGUCUUGACGGUACCUAAUCAGAAAGCCACGGCUAACUACGUG